rnacentral:rRNA from 1 species
CCUACGGGAGGCAGCAGUGAGGAAUAUUGGUCAAUGGACGAGAGUCUGAACCAGCCAAGUAGCGUGAAGGAUGACUGCCCUAUGGGUUGUAAACUUCUUUUGUAUGGGAAUAAUAUGCUUCACGUGUAGGGUUUUGUCAGUACCAUACGAAUAAGGAUCGGCUAACUCCGUGCCAGCAGCCGCGGUAAUACGGAGGAUGCGAGCGUUAUCCGGAUUUAUUGGGUUUAAAGGGUGCGUAGGGGGGUUUUUAAGUUAGUUGUGAAAGUUUGGGGCUCAAACGUAACAAUGCAAUUAAAACUGGAGGGCUAGAGAACAGUAGAGGUAGGCGGAAUUAGUGAAGUAGCGGUGAAAUGCUUAGAUAUAACGUAGAACACCGAUAGCGAAGGCAGCUUACCAGACUGAGUCUGACACUGAUGCACGAAAGCAUGGGUAGCAAACAGGAUUAGAUACCCGUGUAGUC